AAUAUUGGACAAUGGGGGCAACCCUGAUCCAGCCAUGCCGCGUGGGUGAAGAAGGUCUUCGGAUUGUAAAGCACUUUAAGUUGGGAGGAAGGGCUUUAGGCUAAUACCCUGAAGUUUUGGCGUUACCAACAGAAUAGGAACCGCCAAACUCGGUGCCACCCGCCGCGAUAAUACAGAGGGUGCAAGCGUUAAUCGGAAUGACUGGGCGUAAAGCGCGCGUAGGUGGUUCAGUAAGAUGGGUGUGAAAUCCCCGGGCUUAACCUGGGAACUGCUUUCAUAACUGCUGAGCUAGAGUACGGUAGAGGGUAGUGGAAUUUCCUGUGUAGCGGUGAAAUGCGUAGAUAUAGGAAGGAACACCAGUGGCGAAGGCGACUACCUGGACUGAUACUGACACUGAGGUGCGAAAGCGUGGGGAGCAAACA
rnacentral:rRNA from 1 species